rnacentral:rRNA from 1 species
GGAUUCCCUUAGUAAUGGCGAAUGAACAGGGAUGAGCUCAAUAUGGAAAUUGUGGCUUCUGGCUUUGAAUUGUAAUCUCAAGAUGCAUUGCUAACUGGGGCGUAGGUGAAAGCCUCUUGGAAAAGAGAAUCAUUGAGGGUGAGAAUCCUGUUUGUCAUCUACAGUCCUCCGUGUACGGCAUGCGUUCUAAGAGUCACGUUCCUCGGGAUUGGAGCGCAAACUGGGUGGUAAAUUUCAUCUUAAGCUAAAUAAGGGUUCGAGACCGAUAGCAAACAAGUACCAUGAGGGAAAGAUGAAAAGGACUUUGAAAAGAGAGUUAAAAGUGCCUGAACUUGCUGAAAGGAAAGCGGAUGGAACCAGUGUUGCUUGGCGAGAUUGUUGCGUGCGAAAGUGAUUGCUUGCUGCAUCAGCGCAAGCGGUGCUGUGGGUUUUGAUCUGGCUGUGCGCGAUGCUUCUUGCCUCGUGUGUCAUCGUCAGUGUGCUGGUGAGGACAACUCUUGGGACAUGGUAGCCUGCCCCUGGGCGUGCGAAUGUGCCUUGCAGAACUCACUGUCAUAUUGCUCCUCCACAUGUGAGGUCGUGCUGCCUUUCUUUGGCACCUGUGUUGGCGUUUGUGCCUGGCCUAGGUGUCGUUUGCUGAGCACCUUCCUGACAUAGCCAUGGUGACUAAAUGGUUCUAUUCGACCCGUCUUGAAACACGGACCAAGGAGUCUAACAUGUGUGCGAGUUCUUGGGCGGCGAAACCUACGUGCGCAAUGAAAGUGAUUACUGAGAUGCUAGCAUCAGCAGCCGACCGAUCAAUUGGGAGAGGUUUGAGCAUGAGCAUAUCUGUUAGGACCCGAAAGAUGGUGAACUAUGCUUGUGAAGGGUGAAGUCUGGGGA